rnacentral:tRNA from 1 species
GGCCCGGUAGCUCAGCAGGAUAGAGCAGCGCUUUCCUAAAGCGGAGGUCAGGGGUUCGAAUCCCUUCCGGGCCGCCA